rnacentral:misc_RNA from 1 species
CCAAGUACAAAAGCAAUCAAUUCCCAAUCCUAUUUCCCAUUCUGAAAAAAA